UUCGCAAUGCCCGAAAGGGUGACGAAGCGACGCCGCGUGGGUGAGGAAGGCCCUCGGGUUGUAAAGCCCUGUCAGGAGUUAAGAAAUGUAGAUACGCUAAUAUCGUAUCUAUUUGACAAAGGCUCCAAAGGAAGCCACGGCUAACUCUGUGCCAGCAGCCGCGGUAAUACAGAGGUGGCAAGCGUUGUUCGGAAUUAUUGGGCGUAAAGAGCACGUAGGUGGGUUUGUAAGUCAGAUGUGAAAGCCUCCUGUUCAACGGGAGAAUUGCAUCUGAAACUACAAACCUUGAGUAUAGGAGGGGAGAAUGGAACUUCUGGUGGAGCGGUGAAAUGCGUAGAUAUCAGAAGGAACGCCGGCGGCGAAAGCGACUCUCUGGACCGAAACUGACGCUGAGUGUGCGAAAGCUAGGGGAGCAAACGGGAUUAGAUACCCCGGUAGUCCUAGCCGUAAACGAUGGGCACUAAGUAGAGGGGUUUU
rnacentral:rRNA from 1 species